rfam:Candidatus Pelagibacter sp. RS39 genome.
GCCGGUAAUUAUUGCGAAAGAGUUAUACCCGACACCAUUCCGAACUCGGAAGUCAAGCCUUUCUGCGCCGAUGAUACUUUGUCUUAAGACAUGGGAGAGUAGGACGUUGCCGGCA